GUUACAAGUGUACACCUUGCAGCCUACAGUUUGAAGUUUUUUUCAACUCCUUGUAUUUUUGCUUUUGGGUACAUGCUUGGUUUUGUUUUAUUUAUUUAUUUCAAUGCCAAGAAGCAUGUGAAUAGGGUUUCCCGUGUCUUAGUAAGGAGAGGAGAGGCUUUGCUUUCAAUACGAUGGUAGCCAUUAACCUUGAUCCAGUAAACUUAGAUCAGCGCCUAAAUCAUCAUUUGCAUAUAAUUAAACAGUACCAUUGACUGUAUUUAUAUUAUCUAUGAUUGGUACUAAAAUUUAUAUACAUCAUGGAAGUUUGUUCUCCUGUGUACCGUCUAUUGCAAUAUCACCUUUUCAUAUAGUUCUGCUGUUUUGAAUUGGGUGCAGUUAAUUUUCAUAGAGAUAUUCUGACAUUGUUCUGCAUGGCAGGGCCUAAACUGCGGGAACCAAAAUCCUGGAAACAUACAGUUCCUUCACUGCGCAAGUGCGAGUCUGAGUAGAGAUACAGAUAUCACUGGAAUUAAUUUUUGCAUCUUGAAUUCCACCACUUUGGGUUGCUCCUGCACAUGCAAAUGAUCAGCAUAAUAGGUUACUGGCCUCUUCAAGAGAAUCUUCAGUGUGAUGUUUUCCUGUUCGGUAAGCUGUGAUGAAAAUAAGCCUCGAAGACCUGAAAGGCUGAAGCUUGGACAACGUGAAUCCCAAGUUACAGAACUGGAGAGACCCUUUCUUGGGCUGAAGCCAAUUACUUUGUGCAGAACAAGUGUGUCCUUGAACAUGACAUGUCUGAGUUAGUAAGUACACUUGCAGUCAGUCAUUGUGCUGCCGAGCCAUUUGUUUUCAGGAUGUGCAAGUUUGAUGUGCUAAAAGAUUGCUUUGUUGUGUUGCUCUUUCUUGGGCUGAAUCAACCCAUAUUGCAAGA